CCUACGGGUGGCAGCAGUAGGGAAUGUUGGGCAAUGGGGGGAACCCUGACCGAGCAACGCCGCGUGAACGAAGAAGUUAUUCGGAAUGUAAAGUUCUUUUAACAGGGAAGAAAGAGAAAUUUGACGGUACCUGAAGAAUAAGCUCCGGCUAACUACGUGCCAGCAGCCGCGGUAAUACGUAGGGAGCGAGCGUUAUCCGGAAUUAUUGGGCGUAAAGGGUGCGUAGAUGGCAUAGUAGGUCUUUGGUAAAAAUGCUGGGCUCAACCCAGUAGGGCAAAAGAUACUGCAAAGCUAGAGUGUGACAGAGGCAAGUGGAACUACAUGUGUAGCGGUAAAAUGCGUAGAUAUAUGUAAGAACACCAGUGGCGAAGGCGGCUUGCUGGGUCGAUACUGACAUUGAGGCACGAAAGCGUGGGGAGCAAACAGGAUUAGAUACCCUAGUAGUC
rnacentral:rRNA from 1 species